rnacentral:rRNA from 1 species
UACAGAGGUCUCAAGCGUUGUCCGGAUUUACUGGGCGUAAAGGAUGCGUAGGCGGACAUUUAAGUCAGAUGUGAAAUACCCGAGCUUAACUUGGGUGCUGCAUUUGAAACUGGGUGUCUAGAGUGCAGGAGAGGUAAGUGGAAUUCCUAGUGUAGCGGUGAAAUGCGUAGAGAUUAGGAAGAACACCAGUGGCGAAGGCGACUUACUGGACUGUAACUGACGCUGAGGCAUGAAAGCGUGGGGAGCAAACAGG